GCCUAUAGCCCUUCUUCUUUAAUUAAUGGCUCUCUCAACUAAAUUGUUAAACAAGAAAUUAUUUAAUGAUCAUGGUGGAAAUUUAUGGUCAGAUUUUGGCACCUUUGCCAAUUGGGUUCGCUGUGUUCUUGGUGCACUUGGCUACUAUCCCAAUUACAGGAACUGGUAUCAACCCAGCUCGCAGUCUUGGCGCAGCAAUCAUCUUCAACAAGGACAAGGGCUGGGAUGAUCAUGUAAGUCUUUAAACUCCCAACUUUCUUUCUCAAAGUCCUACUAGAAUUGACUUUACUUCUAUAUUCGGUGUGCUGUGUGCAGUGGAUUUUCUGGGUGGGUCCAUUCAU
rnacentral:misc_RNA from 1 species